rnacentral:rRNA from 1 species
GACGAACGCUGGCGGCGUGCUUAACACAUGCAAGUCGAACGGAAAGGCCCUGCUUUUGUGGGGUGCUCGAGUGGCGAACGGGUGAGUAACACGUGAGUAACCUGCCCUUGACUUUGGGAUAACUUCAGGAAACUGGGGCUAAUACCGGAUAGGAGCUCCUGCUGCAUGGUGGGGGUUGGAAAGUUUCGGCGGUUGGGGAUGGACUCGCGGCUUAUCAGCUUGUUGGUGGGGUAGUGGCUUACCAAGGCUUUGACGGGUAGCCGGCCUGAGAGGGUGACCGGCCACAUUGGGACGGGGAUACGGACCAGGCUCCUACGGGAGGCAGCAGUGGGGAAUAUUGCACAAUGGGCGGAAGCCUGAUGCAGCAACGCCGCGUGCGGGAUGACGGCCUUCGGGUUGUAAGCAGCUUUCGCCUGUGACGAAGCGUGAGUGACGGUAAUGGGUAAAGAAGCACCGGCUAACUAC